AUGCCAGAGUGCAUUGUUUCAGACAGAGAUCCUGUUUUCACGAGUAAUUUUUGGCAAACACUGACUCAAAGGACUGGCACCCAGCUGAAUAUGAGUUCUGCUUACCAUCCUGCUACUGAUGGGCAGACUGAGAGAGUUAAGCAACAAAUUGAAUGUUACCUCAGAAGCUUCAUCAGUUCUCACCCCUCUAAGUGGAGUAAGUGGCUAUCAAUGUGUGAGUUCUGGUACAACACAAAUUGGUAUUCAGCGGUGGGCAAGUGA
rnacentral:rRNA from 1 species